UGACGCGGCGGCAGGCUUACACCUGCAAGUUAGCGGGGAAGGUAGCUUGCUCACCUAACCUACGGCGGACGGGUGAGUAAUGCUUAGGAAUCUGCCUAUUAGUGGGGGACAACGUUUCGAAAGGAACGCUAAUACCGCAUACGUCCUACGGGAGAAAGCAGGGGAUCAUUUGACCUUGUGCUAAUAGAUGAGCCUAAGUCGGAUUAGCUAGUUGGUGGGGUAAAGGCCUACCAAGGCGACGAUCUGUAGCGGGUCUGAGAGGAUGAUCCGCCACACUGGGACUGAGACACGGCCCAGACUCCUACGGGAGGCAGCCAGUGGGGAAUAUUGGACAAUGGGCGCAAGCCUGAUCCAGCCAUGCCGCGUGUGUGAAGAAGGCCUUAUGGUUGUAAAGCACUUUAAGCGAGGAGGAGGAGCUUCAGGUUAAUACCCUGGAUGCUUGGACGUUACUCGCAGAAUAAGCACCGGCUAACUCUGUGCCAGCAGCCGCGGUAAUACAGAGGGUGCAAGCGUUAAUCGGAUUUACUGGGCGUAAAGCGUGCGUAGGCGGCUAAUUAAGUCAAAUGUGAAAUCCCCGAGCUUAACUUGGGAAUU
rnacentral:rRNA from 1 species